GGGGAAUAUUGGACAAUGGGGGCAACCCUGAUCCAGCAAUGCCGCGUGUGUGAAGAAGGCCUGCGGGUUGUAAAGCACUUUCAGUGGGGAAGAUGGGCUGCGUGUAACGAGCGCAGUUUGACGUUACCCACAG
rnacentral:rRNA from 1 species